rnacentral:tRNA from 1 species
GGUGCUGUGGCUCAGCAGGUUAAAGCCCUGGUCUGCAGCACCAGCAUCCUAUAUGGGUGCCGGUUCAAGCCCGGCUGCUCCA